UUCUUAUUAGAUGAUGAUUCUGUCAUAUGUUAUGUUGUGAUUGAAUGUCAACUGCAUAAAAGAUGAAAUACAUUGUUAUUUUCAUUGACCAAUAAAAACAUAAUAUGUGUCGGUCAUCAUCC
rfam:Glycine soja cultivar W05 scaffold3426_44, whole genome shotgun sequence.